CUGGGUGACAGGAGCCUCUUGUGUUCCCAUAAAGUCAGAUCGCUUCAGGUGGGGCUCCUUGGCAGAAAGGUCAAUUUCAAAUUUUCAAAACCUGUUCCUUCACAAUUUCUGGGGAGAAGAACUGGUGGAGGCUGAAUUAAUAAUCAGUCAUGUCCACAAGACUGCACCUCUCAAUGACAAACCCACAGCUUUGAGCAUCAGGGGUGGAGCUGCAGCCACGAGGCAGAUUUUUGUGAAGAUCCUUAUGGGGAAGACCAUCACGCUCGAGGUUGAACCCCUGGACACUACAGAAAAUUUAAGAGUCAGGAUCCAGGAUAAGGAAGGAAUUCCUGCUGAUCAGCAGAGGCUGAUCUUUGCUGGCUUUAGGUAAGCAUCCAGGAAUACACAGAUAAUCAAGGCAAAUUCUACCACUUCGUAUUAUAUCACCAGGAAGAACUGAGCAAGAAUGUGCUGAUGCCUAUCAGACAUUUGGAAGAACUAGUUUUCUCUGGCAUGAUCCCUUCUUUCUCCUUGUGCAGCCACCGCACUUUCCCGUACCGCUGCACUGUUAUUUAAGAACCUUGUGUUGAUGCACUUCAGUUACUAAGAUGCUUUGGUCAUAGCAACAGAAAGAAAAUAAGACAACCACAGGACAUAAAAACUGUCCCUUAGUGUCCUACAGUUUUUCUAGAAAGCAUUAUCUGCCUUCAAGAUAUGACUCACUGCCUGCUGCUUAAUUCCACCCUCUGAAGACUUCUGCAUUAUUGUACAUGCUUCCAUAAAAGUUAUGUGGCUUAUA